rnacentral:tRNA from 1 species
UCUGAUGAAGUUGAAGAGGUAAGAUGGAAUGACAAUACUAGUUUUUCUAUAUAUCAUAUUAUUCUGGCGCUUUAAUAACUGAUAUGGUUUAUCAUCUGGAAACAGAGAGAUUCAAGGGAUGAAACCAAGGACGACAGCAUGAGCAGUGAGGAAAAUGUUCGAAAGAGGUGGCUCCAAGUGUUUGAAAGUGUGCUGAAGAUCCUGAGGAUUGGGAAGGACAGCAGCACUGGGUUUAAAGCACUCUAUGAGCUGCAGGGGAGAGACUCUGACAGCAGCUCCAUCACUAGAGAAAGUACCAGCAGUGAACUCAAUGACUGUGUGAACGGAACACAAAGCUGUGAGAGUGAAGAGUUUUUUUUUCAGAGCAUUGGAGAUGACCCUCAAUACUCACUGCAUGGUCUGUUGGUACCAGAUGAAGACGAAAAAGAUUUUUCAUUUUAAAAUCAUCAAAUUCACUUUUACUCAGGUCAGCUUUUGAUAACUACAUAUACACUAGCCGUCGCAUGAGCUCACGUGGCCGGUUAGCUCAAUUGGUUAGAGCGUGGUGCUAAUAACGCCAAGGUCGCGGGUUCGAUCCCCGUACGGGCCAUCAGUUUUUAGUUUCAUUCACACCAUGCUCCUUCUCCUGACACAUUUUUUUUAGGCCAUAACUAUUGAUCAAUAGAUGCCAGUCUAUUCAUACGCAGUCACCUCAUUGGCCAGUUUAGGUGACGCGAUAGGUGCACCACGUAACUUAAAGUUCCGUCAGUUUUAUGUUAGCUCAUAUUUAUUUUUAGCUAGCCCACUAACCCGUUUAUUUUCAGCCCUAACCCAGGAAACACCCUAAAAUGUUUAUUUUUUCGUAUGUGUAUUUUUAAAGGUGGAAUUUGCCGUGUUAAAUCUGUUAAAAUGAAACACAGGCACAUUACGCUUAUGCAGAAAAGGUCCGGAAAUCGUAUCCAUAAUCCCGAGGGCAAUUGUUACGUUUCCGUAUCAAUAGACACUUCUUUUUUUUUUUUUAUGGAAGAGGAUUAGGGCCAAUUUUGAUGGAGAAAAUAUUUUUGGGCAGAUCAAGAAAAAGUUGAAAAUUCGUUAUUAAAGUUAGAAUAUAAUGUCGAG